AAUAUUGGACAAAGGGCGAUAGCCUGAUCCAGCCAUGCCGCGUGUGUGCAGCAGGUCUUCGGAUUGUAAAGCACUUUAAGUUGGGAGGAUGUUGUUGAAGCUAAUACCUUCAAUCGUUGACGUUACCAACAGAAUAAGCACCGGCUAACUCUGUGCCAGCAGCCGCGGUAAUACAGAGGGUGCAAGCGUUAAUCGGAAUUACUGGGAGUAAAGCGCGGGUAGGUGGUUCAGUAAGAUGGAAGUGAAAGCCCCGGGCUUAACCUGGGAACUGCUGUCAUAACUGCUGAGCUAGAGUACGGUAGAGGGUGGUGGAAUUUCCUGUGUAGCGGUGGAAUGCGUAGAUAUAGGAAGGACCACCAGUGGCGAAGGCGACUACCUGGACUAAUACUGACACUGGGGUGCGAAAGCGUGGGGAGCAAACA
rnacentral:rRNA from 1 species